UCGAGCAGGCGCUCGAGGUGGUUGAAGAUCCCGCAGAAGUUGGGCAGGCUGCUCAUCAGCUUCUUGUCGUUCAUCAGCUGCAUCAGAUCUGAAGUAAUGAAAGGUGCCAAAAUGAUAUGAAUCGCAUAUGGAAUGACAAAUCCCACGAGGAAUUUCAAACCUCCAGAGCUGCGUAUGGGAUCGAACAUUUGGAACCUGUUCUGUUGGAAGGGAUUUGGAACAAUUAUGGGCCAGCCAUUUGUUGAAAGUUUCUGUACAACUCUGAACAUGGAAAGCUUAGAAUCUGAAAGAGGAUUUUAUUCUAAGCAUGUAGGGUGUAUCUCGAUUCUAUGAAUAAAAUGGAGAAUUGUUUUUGAAUCAUC